rnacentral:rRNA from 1 species
UACGUAGGGUGCAAGCGUUGUCCGGAAUUAUUGGGCGUAAAGAGUUCGUAGGCGGCUUGUCGCGUCGGCUGUGAAAACCUGCGGCUCAACCCCGGGCCUGCAGCCGAUACGGGCAAGCUAGAAUUCGGUAGGGGAGACUGGAAUUCCUGGUGUAGCGGUGAAAUGCGCAGAUAUCAGGAGGAACACCGGUGGCGAAGGCGGGUCGCUGGGCCGAUAUUGACGCUGAGGAGCGAAAGCGUGGGGAGCGAACAGG